GAUGAAGAACGCAGCGAAAUGCGAUAAGUAAUGUGAAUUGCAGAAUUCAGUGAAUCAUCGAAUCUUUGAACGCACAUUGCGCCCGCCAGUAUUCUGGCGGGCAUGCCUGUUCGAGCGUCAUUUCAACCAUCAAGCCCCGGGCUUGUGUUGGGGACCUGCGGCUGCCGCAGGCCCUGAAAUGCAGUGGCGGGCUCGCUGUCACUCCGAGCGUAGUAGUUACAUCUCGCUCUGGGCGUGCUGCGGGUUCCGGCCGUUAAAAGCCUUAUUUACCCAAGGUUGACCUCGGAUCAGGUAGGAAGACCCGCUGAACUUAAGCAUAUCAUAAGCGGAGGA
rnacentral:misc_RNA from 1 species